rnacentral:rRNA from 1 species
CCUACGGGUGGCUGCAGUGAGGAAUAUUGGUCAAUGGACGAGAGUCUGAACCAGCAAAGUAGCGUGAAGGAUGACUGCCCUAUGGGUUGUAAACUUCUUUUAUAUGGGAAUAAAAUGUUCCACGUGUGGGAUUUUGUAUGUACCAUAUGAAUAAGGAUCGGCUAACUCCGUGCCAGCAGCCGCGGUAAUACGGAGGAUCCGAGCGUUAUCCGGAUUUAUUGGGUUUAAAGGGAGCGUAGGUGGAUUGUUAAGUCAGUUGUGAAAGUUUGCGGCUCAACCGUAAAAUUGCAGUUGAAACUGGCAGUCUUGAGUACAGUAGAGGUGGGCGGAAUUCGUGGUGUAGCGGUGAAAUGCUUAGAUAUAACGAAGAACUCCGAUUGCGAAGGCAGUUCACUGGACUGCAACUGACACUGAGGCUCGAAAGUGUGGGUAUCAAACAGGAUUAGAUACCCGAGUAGUC